rnacentral:lncRNA from 1 species
UGUGAAAAGGAAGAAAAUGAUGAGAGGAGGCAUGGAGAUGGAGAGGGGAAGAGUUUUUGUUGAUCAAAAAUUUUAUUCUGUGGAACCCUAGAGACCACCCUUUACAUAUAGACACUGUAUUAACACAUAUCAGAAAUCCUAUCAACUUAAAAAGAUAGAUUUCUAUCUCAUAAAAAUCUUCUACCUUUUAAAUUUGAUUUAUGCUAAAUAAAACUAUAUAUAAAUAGUAAUUAAUCAGUCCUUUUAAGUAUGUACAAUAGGCAUCCAUGGAUACAUGUCAGGUGAUUGUUGGCACCCAUCAAAGGGAUCUCUAGCC